rnacentral:rRNA from 1 species
GAUGGAGCAACGCCGCGUGAGUGAAGAAGGUUUUCGGAUCGUAAAGCUCUGUUGUUGGUGAAGAAGGAUAGAGGUAGUAACUGGCCUUUAUUUGACGGUAAUCAACCAGAAAGUCACGGCUAACUACGUGCCAGCAGCCGCGGUAAUUACGUAGGUGGCAAGCGUUGUCCGGAUUUAUUGGGCGUAAAGCGAGCGCAGGCGGAAAAAUAAGUCUAAUGUGAAAGCCCUCGGCUUAACCGAGGAAUUGCAUCGGAAACUGUUUUUCUUGAGUGCAGAAGAGGAGAGUGGAACUCCAUGUGUAGCGGUGGAAUGCGUAGAUAUAUGGAAGAACACCAGUGGCGAAGGCGGCUCUCUGGUCUGCAACUGACGCUGAGGCUCGAAAGCAUGGGUAGCGAACAGGAUUAGAUACCCUGGUAGUCCAUGCCGUAAACGAUGAGUGCUAAGUGUUGGGAGGUUUCCGCCUCUCAGUGCUGCAGCUAACGCAUUAAGCACUCCGCCUGGGGAGUACGACCGCAAGGUUGAAACUCAAAGGAAUUGACGGGGGCCCGCACAAGCGGUGGAGCAUGUGGUUUAAUUCGAAGCAACGCGAAGAACCUUACCAGGUCUUGACAUCUAGCGCCAAUCGUAGAGAUACGAUGUUCCC